UAUUUAACGGGUGAUAAUAGGAGUUUUUUCAUAUACUGGUGAUAUUUGAUUUUUUUUCUUUUAAGAAUGAUUUAGGAGAGGAUUUUAAGGUAGUUAAUUGAGGUUAGUUUUUUUCUUUUUACGAAAGUUAAUUAAGGAGGGUUAGUUACGGAUUACAUUUAACUAAAAAUGGAAUCAUGGCUAAAAUUUGGGAGGUAGAUAUGGGAGAUUUUUCAGGAGUUAUCGUUUAUCACGUUAACUAUAAUUAUUUUUUAGGAAAAAUUAAUGUUUUCUUGGUUUAAUUAAUUUAAAGUAAAAAGUUAUUUGUGUAAUUCAUUCUUGUUAGGUUUGUGAUAUACAAAAAAAGUAAAAUUGGGCUAGAAAUAUUUUUCCCAAUUUUCUUAUCCGUCUCCUCGAGUUCUCCUCCUCCUCCCAUUUUUCUUCUCUUCUAACUUCUAACCCUGAACUGAUCUGUGAAAUCAAACCCAACUUUUCAAAAAUCAAUACUCGUUUCUCCAAAACCCCAAUCUUAUAAAUCAAAUCUCAUCACGGAAAUCAAAUCAAAUCUUUCAAUCACUCAAACCCUGGAAAUCGUUUUCUACUCCAAAGUCAAAUGAUUCUGUAAGGUGUGCUUGGUUUCAAAUCUUUCUAUAGUGAAUUACGGUGUUGGUGAUUUUUAUGGUGGUAGUGUUGGUGGUGUGGUUAGCGCUGCAGUUGGUGGUGGUGCCUUAUUUGGUCAGUGCUUGUGAUAAAAGCUCUGGAUCUGCUAUCAGAAAGGGUGGUUGUGGAGGUGAUGCAGGGAAAUUGAAGUUUAAAGUCUUCCCUUCCUGAAGCCUGUUGGAGUGCUGCAAGAAAUUGGUCACAAGUGUGGCCAUUUGUUUGUUGAAGAGUUGUUGAUACUUCGAUAAAUGAUGAGGAAAGCUAGUAAAAAUGUAGAGGAUCAUUUGGGUUCAGUCACGUAUAAGGUUGCUGAUAUGUUGGAUGACUUAGUAAGAGUGGUCUUAGGAACGGAGCUUUGGGUCACUGGCAUCAAACAGGUCCUGAAUUCAAUAAUUCUCCAUGGAUGCUUUUUACAAGAAUGUAGUGUGCAGAAUUCUGUAGUGGGUGACCACUCUCGUUUAGAAUAUAAUAUUGAGUUACAGGAUACCAUGAUGAUGGGUGUUGAAGAAUACCAAUCAGAAUCUGAAAUUGCAGCACUUCUAGCAGAUGGAAAUGUUCUGGUUGGCAUGUGACAGAAUACCAAAAUCAGAUAUAUGCUCAUUUUUCUGGUAAUGAACUCUCUCUUAUUAAAACAUGGUUAUGUGAGAUGGUGGUUGUUCAGGUCACUGCAUCACUUACAGUGGUUAUUGAACAUCUAGUAACAGUAGCUUUAUGUUUAUAACAAUUUUUUUAUGUUUCGGAAUAGAAUUUUGAUUGUGUACAUUCAAACUAAGUUCAUUAUCAUGUUGUAAAAUGUUGGAAGGAUGAGUGGUUGUGUUAUCAGGUCAACGUUCUAUAUUAUUUGUGAUACUGGAAUUUUCAAAUAUUAAUAGAGAUUUUGUAUUUUUUUUUAAUUCUGAUAA